UACCGCCGCCCUCCUUGGGCGUUUCCUCCCUAGACUUGGGCCGCUAGCAUCCGCUGGCGGCCUCUUUUUUUGUGCCU
rnacentral:sRNA from 1 species